AAUGAACGCUGGCGGCAUGCCUAACACAUGCAAGUCGAACGAAGCCUUCGGGCUUAGUGGCGCACGGGUGCGUAACGCGUGGGAAUCUGCCCUUGGGUUCGGAAUAACAGUGGGAAACUACUGCUAAUACCGAAUGAUGUCGUAAGACCAAAGAUUUAUCGCCCAGGGAUGAGCCCGCGUAGGAUUAGCUAGUUGGUGUGGUAAAGGCGCACCAAGGCGACGAUCCUUAGCUGGUCUGAGAGGAUGAUCAGCCACACUGGGACUGAGACACGGCCCAGACUCCUACGGGAGGCGGCAGUGGGGAAUAUUGGACAAUGGGCGAAAGCCUGAUCCAGCAAUGCCGCGUGAGUGAUGAAGGCCUUAGGGUUGUAAAGCUCUUUUACCCGGGAUGAUAAUGACAGUACCGGAGAAUAAGCUCCGGCUAACUCCGUGCCAGCCGCCGCGGUAAU
rnacentral:rRNA from 1 species